GAUGAACGCUAGCGGCAGGCUUAAUACAUGCAAGUCGAGGGGCAGCACAGGUAGCAAUACUGGGUGGCGACCGGCAAACGGGUGCGGAACACGUACACAACUUACCUUAGAGUGGGGGAUAGCCCAGGGAAACUUGGAUUAAUACCCCAUAAAACAGGGGGCCCGCAUGGGCAUAUUGUUAAAGAUUUAUCGAUUUAAGAUGGGUGUGCGUAUGAUUAGGUAGUUGGUAGGGUAAAGGCCUACCAAGCCGACGAUCAUUAAAUGGUGUGAAGCGACGACGCGUCACACGGGAACUGAGAAACGGGCCCGACUCCUACGGGAGGCAGCAGUAAGGAAUAUUGGUCAAGGGACGGAAGUCUGAACCAGCCAUGCCGCGUGAAGGAUGAAGGUCCUCUGGAUUGUAGACUUCUUUUAUAGGGGGCAAAAAAGGGCCAUUCUUGGUCAACUGACGGUACCCUAUGAAUAAGCACCGGCUAACUCCGUGCCAGCCGCCGCGGUAAAAC
rnacentral:rRNA from 1 species